UCUCUCGCCUUCCCUUGUUUUGCUUCGUCUUUUCACUCUUUUCUGUGCUCGGUUUAGGUGCGUUGCUUGUAGAGUUACUAGGUCUUCCAGUAAGAAUGGAUUUGAGUUUGUUAUUUGACAUACUGCAUCCGUACUUGCACCAGAGGUGUUUGAGAAAUUGCCAACUACUAAUCUUUUUGGACUCUAUUAGGGCGCUCUUAAAUCCAGAUUGUCUGAUCAAAAAUAGCUUUGAAUAUGAUGGGCAACUUCCCAUUAAAGAGGAUGGAACAUGAAGAUAACGGAAAAAAUUCUGGUAUUGCAGAGGACAGGCUGCUGUUACGUUAGUAGAUUAAAAUUAUGCUCUAACUGGUUUUGUAUGAAAAUUAACUCCCAAGGAAAAGAUGGAAAAAAUGAUAGCUGGUGCACUAACAGAGUUUUUUCUCUACAUGGUCAUCAACAUUUGUUCUUGCAUUUAACCCUCAUAUCCCUCCACUUCACUCUCCUAUUUAUCUGUUGUAAGUUCAAUUCUAGAAAAAGAGUUUCCCUAUUGAGCUUUUAGAUUUCCUUUUAGUCUUCAAUAUGUUGCAAUAAAUUGAAGUGAUUAUGUUUCUUAUUUUAUUUUUGAAUUCAUGAAGCAUUAUUAUUACUACAGUAAGAAAGUUUUUGCAGCAAAGUGUAAACAAGAAAUUUUAUGAAAGUAGCUUAUAAAGUAGAAACUUUGGAGGAAAUUGACAAAAAUAUAUGCCCUCUACUUAGACAUUAAUUAACUUUUCAUUUCUAAUUUGGCUCGAUUACUCAGAAAAAUCAAGAACCUGCUGCUAGAGAGUGAAAGAUAUCACUGAAAGUUUCCUCAAUGAACUAAUAAUAUAUGAGGGAACUUAAAGAGAAGCAGGCACUCCAAUUCUUUAAUGCAGAAAGGAAGGUCAAGAAAGACAAAGAGGCCAAGAAAGAUCCUGAUAAGCUUAACAGGCCUACCAGUGCCUUCUUCAUAUUCCUCUAGGCUUUGUUUUCUUAUAAUAAGUUUAGAUUCAGUGGUGUAUUAUAGUUGUGUGAUGUAACCGACAAAUGGUCAUGUAUGCUACCGCAAUUAGGAAUUCAGGAAGACAUUUAAAAAGGAAAAUCCCAAUGUGAAUUUGUGGGAAAGUAAAAGUUCAAGUUUAGAGCUUCAAGUUAUUGAUUAUUUGAGUUGGUGUCUGGAAAUUUGCAUUCUGAAGGCCUCUUUCCCAUUGGUUUGAAGAUUUGCAGACUUCUUAUUAUAGUUAUGAUAGUUUAAAUAUUCCAACUUCUGCAGCAUCACUGCUCUGCAAAUAGUGGCUUAGCGAGUAAGAUACAAUCAAGAUUCUUCUGUGGUUUUUUUUAACAUCAGCUUCAGUAGAUUAAGCUCCGAAAUAAAUGACUUCUUAAGAAAGGUAAGACGGACUACAUUGCAUCCAUAAUUACUUCUAUGACAGUAGAUUAGAUUUGGUACAAGUAUAUAUAUUUUAAUAUUCACAACUAUAUUUUUAAUGUUUUUUCUUUUAGUUCAGGGUAUAGUGAAACUAAAUUGUGAACCUUCGAUCUCUAAUUUUGCAACAGAGGAAUGGCAGUGGCUCCUCUCAACCCCUUCUUCUCUGAGGAAUUUCUGGGCAAGAAUUUAUUAACUGCUUUUGGUGUGCAAUACAACCAGUGCGUCUUACGACAUUCUAUUUUACCAUUCUCUGGGUGUAAAUCAUGUGGGAAUAUAAUGGGCAAUGUCACAUUGCAUAUGUCGAACUAUUUGCUAUUAGCAUUAGCAUGUAUGCCUAAUCAUUUGAAUAGUAAUAAAUAGCAGGUACGCCCAAUGCCUUUCUAAUCAAGGUUAGAAAGGUUAACAAAGUUUCAAUGGUGUGCAUAUCUCCAGUUGCAUGUUCUUAUAUAUAUGAUAAGUUGCAUAAAUGGUUAGUUCCUUUCCACUUUAACUGGACCUUUGUGCUUUACCUUUAUUGCAUCUUCUCAUUUUUUCCUAAGCAUAAAAUUUAUCCUUUCUGUUCCUUUUCUCUAUUAUGCCUUUGCAGUUUUUCACCUCAUUUUUCUGGAAAGUCUUUCACAUGAUGGUAGCAGCUUCAUAUGUGAAAUGCCUUUUCAAAAUUUACCUUUUGUGUGUAGUCAUAUUAGUGAUCUUCUUACAGAAUCUUAUAUAAGCAGAAGUAAAGAUAAAGUUGCUUUCACACUCUGUUGCUAAAAAUUAAUUUAUUUUCCCUUAACCUUGAUCCACAUCAGAAGCAUAAAUAUACUUGCACAAAUUCAUCUGUGGUGCUUUCCAAAGAAAUCUUCUUUCCGGCAUGCAGGAGUUCCAUGGAGCUCUUAAAAGGACUCAAAAGUCUAAAAGCUAUUAACUUCCAUUUAGCUAUGCUGUAGGAGUGAGAUCACAUUAGUUCCAUUAGACUGCAUUGCAGCAAUGCUUGUUAUGGACGGGGUUCUAAUUUGUUUCUGGUCUCAGCUCUCAAUUUCAGGUGAUCGAGGUAUCCUUCAUGAAGAAAAUUCAUGGUCAUUCAUGUUCAGAAAAUUCAGGCAGUAAAACUGGUGUGUCCGUUAUAUUCACCAGAUUUUGUUAUUUGGUAUAGUCGAGGUGCAUGUACAAACCCCAAGCAGCAUGAGAUGAAGAAUUUGCCAGAAAGUGAUGAUGUUUUUUCUGAUGUAGAGUGAUCUUCGCAGCCAAGGUCUGUCCUUCCUUUUUUUUUUUUUGGGUGUUAUCUUAUCACUUUCUCUCAAGCAAGACAAUUAUUGGACAAACAUAUUGAUAUAGACACUUUCGGAGAACAACAAUUGCCCGGUCAAGGUCCAUGUGGUAAGAAAUUGUUGAUUGUGCUACACAAACCAAGAUAUUUUUGCAUUACGUUCUAACAUAUAGUUGUUCUUUUAAACAUCAGGCAGUUGCAUAUUGUGUAUCCUUAUUUUAGGGACGGUAAAUUCUUACAAUUAUCAGCCCUACUGUCUUCUUGAUAGGGCUUGCAAUGUCAGUUGCUCUUGUGGCGUCGUUGCAACUUUAUACAAAUUUUGCGCGAUUCUUCUUAGUUAUAACCCAAUCAAGAAGGUAUCUUAAGUCAGAGACCGAGAAAUCUCAAACUCCUCAUUCUUGAAAGUCAUAUGUACAAUUUUCACUCCAGUUCAUCACUUUGCAAGAUGAUAUGCAUCAACCACUUUAUUUACCUAGAAACAGGGGCGCCUUUUCUUCGGCCUGCAAAGUGUCCUUUUUAUGAAUAAGUUGAGACUUGAAAGUUGAAUGUAAAUUACUCUGGACUGCAUGGACUGCAUUAGAACUUCAUACUACAAAAGUAUUGCAUGAAAACUUAAAUUGGUGAACAAAGUUGAAUCCUGCUGGGUUAUGUCAGAAUGUUGGGCAUAUAUUCUUUGCCUAUUCGAGGUAUUUAUAGAUGCUAUGUAAAACUGCGUAUGGUUAUUUUCUAAUUUACGUUUAUUUUGUUAGGAAACAAAGUAAGACCUGGAACUGGAGGUGUGAAUUGGGGAGAAAAUCAUAAACAAGAUUUAUAUUCCAAGCAGCAGAGUUCAACAUAAGAUAACUUGGCCAAGAUUAAUCUAUUUGAGAAAGGAGAGAAACAGAAGAUUCUUUGCAGGUUCACGAAUUUUUCUAUGUAUUAGUUGAAGAACAUAAAAGGCUUAUUUCUCACUUGGAAGAUAUGUUUACACACUCCAGAGCCUUUCUUGGAUGGUUGUGGUUCUAAUAUUUUUAUUGUAUACUGCAACAAAAGAAGGCUUGGAAUGAUGGACUUUCAAAAGGAAUGCAUUUUUUUUGGCCACUUUGUAAAUAUGUGGGAAGCAGCCUAAGAAUGUACAUAUGUUGCAACAUAGUAUUUCUUAAUCUUUUGGAUAUGUUGUAAAAUUUUGUUCCUCAAUAGGUGAAUAUAUAGUGGAGCAUUAAUAUGUUGUGGACAUUUAAUCUUGAUAAAUGAUAGUAACAAGUAUAAAUUACUUCUUCGGCGUUGAA